rnacentral:rRNA from 1 species
UACGUAGGGUGCAAGCGUUGUCCGGAAUUAUUGGGCGUAAAGAGCGUGUAGGCGGCCCGGUAAGUCCGCUGUAAAAGUCAAAGGCUCAACCUUUGAAUGUCAGUGGAUACUGCCGGGCUAGAGUCCGGAAGAGGCGAGUGGAACUCCUGGUGUAGCGGUGGAAUGCGCAGAUAUCAGGAAGAACACCAACGGCGAAGGCAGCUCGCUGGGACGGAACUGACGCUAAGGCGCGAAAGCGUGGGGAGCGAACAGG